UGCCUUUCUGUGUUGCCCGUUCAUUGUGUCUCUGGAUGAAUGUGGCGUCAUCAAAGGCAUACAGCAGCAGCUCUUGGAUCGGCCUUAGUGAGAGUGCCAUUCAGUGACCUCAUUCUAAGUUCAAUACCAAGAACAGUU
rnacentral:snoRNA from 1 species